rnacentral:rRNA from 1 species
AUUGAACGCUAGCGGGAUGCCUUACACAUGCAAGUCGAACGGAGUGGCGAACGGGUGAGUAAUGUAUCGGAACGUGCCCAGUAGCGGGGGAUGACUAACCGAAAGCGUAGCUAAUACCUCCUACUAUUCAAGCGGCCGAUAUCGGAUUGGCUAGUUGGGGGGGUAACGGCUCACCAAGCCGACGAUCCGUAGCUGGUUUGAGAGGACGACCAGCCACACUGGAACUGAGACACGGCCCAGACUCCUACGGGAGGCAGCAGUGGGGAAUUUUGGACAAUGGGCGAAAGCCUGAUCCAGCCAUCCCGCGUGUGUGAUGAAGGCCUUCGGGUUGUAAAGCACUUUUGGCAGGGAAGCGGUACCUGCAGAAUAAGCACCGGCUAACUACGUGCCAGCCGCCGCGGUAAUUC